rnacentral:rRNA from 1 species
GCCGGCAGCCAUAUCACCCUGCAGCCCAAAACUGGUCACCCACUGAAGCUAAGCAGGGUUGAGCCUGGUCAGUACCUGGAUGGGAGACAUCCUGGGAAAACUAGGUUGCUGCUGGAA